rnacentral:rRNA from 1 species
UACGUAGGGCGCAAGCGUUGUCCGGAUUUAUUGGGCGUAAAGAGCUCGUAGGCGGCUUGUCGCGUCGACUGUGAAAACCCGCGGCUCAACUGCGGGCUUGCAGUCGAUACGGGCAGGCUAGAGUUCGGUAGGGGAGACUGGAAUUCCUGGUGUAGCGGUGAAAUGCGCAGAGAUCGGGAAGAACAUCAGUGGCGAAGGCGGCCUGCUGGGCUGUUGCUGACGCUGAGGCACGAAAGCGUGGGGAGCAACAGG